rnacentral:lncRNA from 1 species
GACGUCCAAUGCCAGCGACUCCUUCCGGACAGACGCAUGGCGCGACGUGCUCUGCAUCUUUUUCUACUACCGCUUUUAUUCACUCCUUACCCAUUUCUAUCUCAUCCACCGCUUUCUUCUCCGCUUUGGUCUAAUCCACGGCUUGCUUCUCUUCCCUGCGUUGUUGUCCCCAAUUGAGGACUCCCUCACGGGGUGCGGAGCUAGAUGCUCGGCCUAUCUGCUCCUGAACGCGAGGAGGUAGCCAGAGGUUGCUCGCGGAGGCUAGGAUCUGUCCCCGACGGUGGAAACUAGAAAGCCAGAAGUAAGGCUCGAUGGUGUGGAGAUCCAAGGCCUUGUACCUCGUGAAGAGGAGCUGUGUCGGUGGCGGCACGAAGGUGAGGAGCCGCCAUGGCGUCUGCGUGUGACAUAAGACGAAUGAGCAGAGGUAAGACAAGGCUACGGACGGGAGCUGCUCACUUGAUCCCUAGCUCACCAUCGGCAGGCUCACAUGCACCUGAGCAUCAACUAGAUAUGCUCUCACCAGGUAGCAACAACUAAGUAGUUCUUUUUUAACUUUCGAUUUGGGAUGUUGCAGUAGGUCAUUUAGGAUGUUGCAAUUGGUGGUUUCCAAUGUUUCAGAUACUACAGUAAGAAUUUUGGUUGAGGUUUUCCCUCAUGUUGCAACUGCUGUUUUAUUACGACAGUUGAUCGGCAAUGUUGUAAUAAUUUUUCAUGAUGAUGUGAUCGAUUAGUUAG